AGGUAACCAAUGUUAGAGACUGGUGUGUAUCUUUCAGAGGAUAGUUUCUUUGUGAUUGUGAGUAGCUUAGCUGUUGAGCAAGCCAUUGGAUACAAGACUAACCUUACAGAAAGGUCAAUCCUGGGCGGGUAGGAUGUCAUCAACAUAUGAGGCAUGGUUAAAACCAUGAAUGUGGAUGAGAUCCUCCCGGAGGAUCACAUAAAGAGGUCAGUGCACUGUGACCUGACUUACGGGGAUUACUAUAUGGAAGCGGCAUACAAAGAUCAGAGGUCCAGCAGGGAGAGGGGGGACAAUGAGUUUUGGGUGGAAAUUCUGACAACACAGGAUUAAAACACUGAGGACGUGCCUUUACAUCGAGAAAGUGCUGAAUAAACAUCCUGAAGGAGUGGAAAUGAACAGUGUCCUGUAACCCUCAGAGUGAGACUAGAGUCAGAAUGCAAGCUUUUCUCAUUUGAAAUCUAUAUGCCACAGAGAGGAUCCAGAGAGCUCAUCUCCGGUCAGUUAUCUGUAUUUGCAUGUCAACUACAGCAUCAAAAAGCAUAGGCAUGGAUACUAAGGACCCCCUCUGUACACCAACGCCAGUCCAAAGGAUAGUGUGUCACUGUGAACUGGAAAUUCAUCUCUCUUCUUCAUUUUUUUUCUACCUACUUUAUGCUUUAUCUCUAAGUUGAGGCUGUUUAUGGCCUCAUCCUCAAUUACCUUGUCCCUC
rnacentral:lncRNA from 1 species